UUUUCCAUUUCUUUGUUCUUGGUAGGGUUGAUCUUUCUCUCCUCUCGUGAGUGUAAGGUCUUUUGGUGGGCAUCAGACCCACUUUCUCAGAAGAAGCAAUCUUUCUUUGCUCAGUGUCAAUGAUACCUAUCUUCUAUAUGCCUCAGUCUCUAUGUUGGUAUUCUAGACCAGAGAGCUGGUUAUCUCACCCUUUUGUUGCCCUUACCUCCUGCCCUCCCUGCUGAGUAAGGAUGUUAACUGGCAAAUAGGGUGUGUGCCAUAUGCAAAACAAUUUUGCUGUCCAGCCAGAAGAGGAACACUUCACCAGCUUGCUAUUUGAAAGACAAGGAGAGGACUGUUAAAAAGUUUGCUUAUAGCAUUCUUAGUGCCCCAAGAAAUCCUGCAGAACACAGGUGCCUUUUGUGUCUCCUGGGAGCUUUGCCAUGGAACAUUUUCACUGUGCUACCUCAGUCCAGCCCCAAGGCCCUUCUCAGUUGGACUCUUGGUUCCCAGGAGCUUUGGGAGGAGAUGCUUUACCAGAGGCCCAGGCUAUGCUCCUGCCACAACUGGCCAAGCCCAUGGCAUCCCCAAGCCCAGCUUCCCCCCCCCUGUUCCUUCAUCUCUGGAUCUGCUUUAACUGGAUGCCCUUGGUGCCUCCACUAACUUUUUUUCAGUGACCAGCACCAAAGUCCAGGGGAAUAAAAUGGAUCAGAGCCAGGCCAAGAAUCCAAAGACCAGGAUGCAAUUGUCUCAGGAGCAGCUGGGGUUCCUCAAGAACAUCCUUGACGUGUCCAAAUACCUCACUCCAGAGAAGGAGCAUGAGUUGGCUGAGCUGUUAGGACUAAGCUACAAACAGAUCAAGACUUGGUUCCACAAUGAGAGACUGAGGGCAAAGCAAUCACAGAUGUCCACACGUGACCAGGAGCUUCAACUGCUUCAGCUUGGACCAGCAGCUGGACCUCAAGACCUCAGUCUCGCUGCUUAAUUUCUUGAGCACCCAAUGAAUAAUCUUCCUAAAAUCUAUUCAGGAUGGAGCAACCAGAUCUCAGAGGACUGUCUCCAGGAUUUUGGGGAGGUACCAUUUCCUUCCCAGUUGGCACUCCAAACCCCUUACCCUGCCCAAACCUUGGAUGGGACCUUAGGGCAUGCUGGUUGGAACUCUCCCAUGAGACCACAGACCCCUGAGGCUUCUUGUGCCCCAUCUGCCACACCUCCCCUCUAGCAUGGAGCAGAGUCCAGUUGGAGCUGGACUCAGAGGCUCAUGAUGGCUCAGAGGCUGGUUCUGCUCCCCAGUCAUCCCCAGAGGCUAGUCAUGUUCCCUGGGAUUAACCUUCCCCCACUCCCAGAUCAGUCCAGGAUUGUCUGCCACAUGAAAUGCCCCUUUCUUCUUAGUGCAUUCUUCUCUACUGGCUUUCUACUACUUCCUGAGGGUAGUUUUUGGGUGGGCAGCUGCUUUCUGGGGAGGAGUGGAGAGUUUUUUCCCCUCUGAGCUGCUCCUAAGGGGCUUACAAAGCUCUACUUUGGUUUGGUGCCAAAAAUCAGUGAUUUUCCAAAUCUGGAUAGAAAUGACCUGGCAGCCAAGGAGCAAAGGUGGGGAAAAGGAACAGACAAGACGGGGCUUUGGAUUUUCUGUCUUUGAACUCUAUUGUUACCUGUAGUGAGGCUUGCUAAAUAUAGGGAGGGCAACCACCCAGUCAAAACAGCUCUUUCCCUCCUCCUGACCCUCUAGGGACUCUAAUGCUGAGAAUCUCCAGGGCAGAAGUUCUUAAACCUUGUUGUACAGGGCACUUUUUUUUUGGCAGCCUGGCAAAACCUAUAGACCCCCUUCUUUUGAAAUGUAUAAAUUAAAGUAUAUCGAAUUGCAAAGGAAACUAGUUAUAUUGGAGCCAUUAUUAAAGUACUAGAAGUGGA